CAGAAAGUACCUUUGAAAAGUAGUUGGAGACUCACAGUAGUUCUAGUCACAGUGGAAGCAGGUGAGUACUAUUUGAUGUGUGGGGCAGCAGGUAGAGUUGCCUUAUCCAGACAGUUAGGGUUUCUAUUAAAAGACCCUAUUUACAUUUGGUGUAAGUGAACUUAAAAGCUAAGUGGAUUUAGUAAAGUCCACUCUUUAAGAUUUUAAUCCUGGAAGCAUUUAUCUGAGACCCUAUCUCAAGGGGAAAAAUAAUCACUCAGUGUGACUAAUGGCGUUGGGUCCCAUGUUCCAGAGCAUUUGUAAACACAGCAAAUGGGUGUGUACUUUUGGUUUUGUUUUUUUUUUCCCUUUCACAGUUCCUUUUCAUUUAUUAGGUACUUUACAGGGAAAAGAAUGGGAAUUGAGAUAGGACAAUAGACUAUGUACAGAGGCUCGUUUGUAUACAGAAAUAUAAUAUUUGAUCCUACUGGAGCAUCCCAGAGUAAAGAAGUGAUUCUCUUGCAGGACCCUGCAGGGCAUGCAGCUGUCCUGACCAGAGGGAGGAAGGCGACAGCUUGUGGUUUAUAGGAUUUAUUCUUCUUUAUAAUGAGGGAAGGAAGCACAAGAGAUUCUACACAUGUUAAUGACAAUGUGAUUUUUGUAGGAAGAGAAGGAAAAGUAUUCCAAAUUAUAGCUACUCCUUCUGAAAAUCUGUAAAUUAGUUUGUGAUUUUUAUAAAUAGACAAAGCUGCUGUUUGCAUUCUAUUUUGUUUAUAUUUCACUGAGAUACGUUCCUUCAUACUGUCAUUCACACUAUGGACAAGGUUCUAAAGAUUCUGUAAUUUUUAAAAUUAUGUAGUAUUCAGAAGAAAGUUUUAAAAAAUGUGGUUAAUAGUCUAAUUUCUGCUGUGACACAUGUUUCUUUCCAAAUCUGAUACAAAAUGCAGAAGCCAGUAUUCUUUUAAUUUAUUCAAUUGAUGGUUUUCAUUUUUAAUAGCAUGUAGACUGCAAGCCAUAGAAUACUGUUAAAUUGGCUAGAUGAUACUUGCAAGGCAGAAGCAAAUCUUAUAAGUGGUUUUAGGGAGGAGAAUACACUUUUUUUAGGAAAUAAAGUGGUAUUUCUGUGGUAUUUAAGGGACACAAAUCAUAACCCAUCACUGUCUGUAGUAGGGCCUAAUACUGUUUUCACUGAGAAGAUAAUUGCAGGCUUUAAUGGUUGUCACUGUUUUGGAGACAGAUUCUCCUGAGUGAAACUGUCCUGGUUAAUUGUCUCAGUUCAUUGAAGGCUCUUGUAAUCUAUAAGAGUCUCUUCCUACCUCUUGUCUCACUAAAAUCUAGUAUGUUUGAGGAGUCUUGAAACGUCAGGAGGAAUUUUAUUGAUGUUGCUUGACCUCUAAGAAUGGGUUUUCACAGUAGCCAUGUGACUAGGGCUGGCCAUCCUUGAGUAUUUAAUAAGAAUAACAGUGUUUCUUAGAUGAAAAUUAAUAGUUACCCAGAGAAUGACAUAAUUUUUAAAAAUUCAUAUUAUAUGUUAAUCUUACUAUGCAACA
rnacentral:lncRNA from 1 species